GCCAGUGUGGUAUAGUGGUUUGAGCAUUGGACUACAACUCUGGAGACCAGGGUUUGAAUCUCUGCUCAGCCA